AUGUCUGUAAUGGCCAACUCCACAGCACAAACACCUAGGGAAAACUCUGCUGAAAGUAAAUCUGACACAUCAACCAUAUCUAUUCAGGGCCCAUACUUUGAAGCCAUAGUUGGAGGUAAGUGUAACAGCUCACAGACUUUCACAUAUCUAACAUGCCUUAAUCUCACCUACAAUGUAAAACUGUGUAUCUUUUGCCCUAAGUCAAUAAUUCUACCUAAUCUGACCCUUUAAAAAUGACUUUUGUCAGGGCUGCAUUUCCUGAGAGCAUUUUAAAGCCUAGAUAGAUCUUAGAGACCAUUGGUGUCAAUGGUUUAUGCAAUCUACUUAAGCUUACGAUGGGCGUUUAGGUCUAGGCACAGCUGUUUUAGAGCCAAUCACCUGACCUGUAAAUGUCAUGUGACUAAUUACUCUGGAGACAGAGAAAAAUGAUGUAAUAGAUGGCAAAACAGGAACACGGAUAGUCCAAAACCUUUCACUAACAACUAUACUAAACAGUGAUAUAAAGGCAUCAAGCAGAGGAUAUUUUCAUUUCCAAAUAUCAAGUCCAUUUGACACUUUCAAGAGCUUUCCAGAACAAAACUGGGCACUGGUAAAAUAUCUUCUAUAUGAUAAGGACAUACAGUGGCAUGCAAAAGUUUGGGAACCCCUUGCAUAAUCUAUGAAAAUUGGAAUAAUUUUAACAAAAUAAGAGAAAUCAUACAAUAUGCAUGUUAUUUUUUAUUAAGUACUGGCCUGAGUAAAAUAUUGUACAUGUUUAAAUUUAGUCCUCAAGACAAAAAAAAAAUAGCUGAAAUUAUUCAAAUAACCCCAUUCAAAAGUUCAUAAUUCUUAAUACUGUAUGCGGUUACCUGGAUGAUCCACGACUGUCUUUUGUUUUGUGAUGGUUGUUCAUGAGUCUGAUUCUGAUUCUGAUUCUGAUUCUGAUUCUGAUUCUGAUGAGUCUCUUGUUGGAUCUGAACAGUUAAACUGAGCACUGUUCUUCAGAAAAAUCCUCCAGGUCCUGUCUCGUGAACAACAUUCACAAAACAGAAAGACAGUUGUGGAUCAUCCAGGUAACUACACACAGUAUUAAGAACUUUUGUAUGGGGUUAUUUUAAUAAUGUCAGCUAUUUUUUGUCUUAUGGAUUAUAUGUAAACAUAUUUUAUGUGAAAUAUCUUACUCAGGACAGUACUAAAUAAAAAAAACAUGCAUUUAGUAUGAUCUUUGUUA
ensembl:lncRNA